rnacentral:rRNA from 1 species
AGCGCAGGCGGAAUCGUGUGUCGGAUGUGAAACCCGGGGGCUCAACUCCCGGACUGCGUCUGAAACUGCGAUUCUAGGGACUCGGAGGGGCUAGUGGAAUUCUUGGUGGAGCAGUGAAAUGCGUAGAUAUCAAGAGGAACACCAACGGCGAAGGCAGCUAGCUGGACGAGAUCCGACGCUCAGGCUCGAAAGUAUGGGGAGCAAAAAGGAUUAGAUACCCUUGUAGUCCAUACUGUAAACGAUGUCGACUAGGUCUUGGGGCAUUCGAACGCCCCAGGGCUCAAGCUAACGCAAUAAGUCGACCGCCUGAGGACUACGGUCGCAAGACUAAA